rnacentral:lncRNA from 1 species
AUUUGAAUUACCAAACCCACCCGCAACCCGCAGCGGGUUUUAAUUUUUUUAAAAAAACCCACCCGCAGCGGGUUUUAACAAUUAUCAAACCCGUAAUGGUAUCCGGCGGAUUUUUUGCGGGUUUCCGUAUUUAAAAUCACAAAUGUUUAAUAUAUAAAUUUAUAAUAAUAACCUCAAAUUUCAUAUAACAUACUCAAUUUUAUAUUUAAACAAUGUAAAUGAAAAAUUAAAAUUUCCACAUCAAUUCAACACAAAUUCUCAAAUUUAAGUAUAAAUUAUACAAAUCCAUUUAAAAAACACAAACUAGUAUCUAAAAAUAAUAAUUACAUUUCAUAUUAUCAUUUAAAACAAGCUCCAAGAGAAGAUAUUCAUUUCAUUCACCACCAUAAGCACACAUCCAACACAAUGCCUAUAAUAAUAAUUAAGAUUAAUAUUUUCAAAUACUAAUUCGAAGGGAAAUGCCUUUAAUUUUCUUUAGGUUAUGACUUUAGAAUAGGAGAUGGGUCACAUACACACAUAUACAACUUUGAGUCUUUAGCUAUUUGGUAAUUUGAUUAAUGACAUUAUUUUCUUUAUA